rnacentral:lncRNA from 1 species
AUUGACAACAUAAGAGUGCAAAAUAUUUGACAGCAGAUCGCUUAUGGUAAGACCUAGCUAUUAUCAAUAAUUUUAGUCCAUUAAAUGCGGUCUUAGUGAAAGGGUGUUCCUUUAUCAUGGUUGAAGGUUGCAUGACUUCUGCUAGGUGUUUUGAUACUUUUCAGUCUCUACUUGAAUGUUGCGUACCUAAUUUUUUAGUGGCCAACAAUCUUGCACUGAUUCUUGCUAGGGGUCAUCAAGGAAACUCAAUAGAUGGCUAUUUCAGUGGAGAUUAUACCAGAGAUGUUGUUUUGAAGUAAGCUCCUUCACACCAUUCUUUUGUAGUUCUUUCAGAAGUAAUGUUUCAUUCUUUUACUUGAGACUAGAGUGGUUGAUGCUCAUUCAUCUUAAUUUAAUACAGAGUAUAUGCCAGGAGAGAAAGAUAUACUUGAAACCCGAUGAGGUCAAUGAUGUGGAGAUUUUACCAGAGAUGUUGUUUUCAAGUAAGAUUUU